GACAGAGGGUGCAAACGUUGUUCGGAAUUACUGGGCGUAAAGGCGCGUAGGCGGUCAGGUCAGUCCCGUGUGAAAUCCCUCGGCUCACCCGAGGACCUGCAUCCCAAACUGCUUGGCUUGAGUAUGGGAGAGGAUGAGGGAAUUCCUGGUGUAGCGGUGAAAUGCGUAGAUAUCAGGAGGAACACCGUGGCGAAGGCGCUCUGCUAGGCCGUAACUGACACUGAGGACGAAAGCUAGGGAGCGAAUGGG
rnacentral:rRNA from 1 species